CAAGGCACCGGGCCUUGUAGUAGACGGCGCCUCGGACCCGACCCGGCGGCCCGUCCCGGCGUCGUCCACGGUGUCCAAUUCCACCGGAGCGAGGAAGAAGAGGACGCCCAGGCGCCUCCUCUCCCCAGAGGAGGCGACCGCGGAGGAGAUGGCGCAGUGGAAGACGAAGCAUAAAGCCAGUGGACGGACUUUGGCCUGGGGAAGACUGAUUUCCCAAUCUGUUCAGCAUCCGUCGAUCCCUAUUUAUUCUACCCAUUUUACUGUUGGCCACGGUGGCAAACAUGAUUUGAAACUGACCGACUCAUAUCCUGGAGCACUUGUUUGCAAACUGAAGCAU